CGGAUAGCUCAAGCUGUAGAGCACUCGCCCUGUAAGCGAGAGGUCUCGGGUUCGAUCCCUGGUCUG
rnacentral:tRNA from 1 species